rnacentral:misc_RNA from 1 species
AACCUAGCACACCUGCGGUGUGUACCUGCGGAGGGAUCAUUAGAGAAUUAUUGACUCAGGGGUUCUUCCCCUGUGUCAACUCACUCUAUUUCACCCCCUUGUGAACUGUCGAUCGGUCGAGUGUGUUCUGCAUUCUUGGUCGAGGGUGUCGCAAUUCGAUUUUGAUUUGCCACCCGAAUCACUUUUUGAAAACCUUAGUGUGUUGAAUGGUGCGCCACAUGGCGAUUUGAAACACAAUAC